UAGUAAUUUUUAUCUUAUACUUUGAUUUGACUUUCAAGUUUGGUCUUCUCAAUAAGUUGUUUGGUAUAAUAUAUUGCCGCCGUUGCUUAUAGUCAAGGUGAAUGUUAAAAAGCUAUAAUAAAUCUUUCUAACAAUGAUGUAAUUUCAUAUUUUUUAAAUGCAAAUCUUAUAGCAAGGAUUGAUGGUCAAUCCAAACAAUCACUAGCUUUUUCAAUAAAUAAUGUUGUCAUAUCUUUGUAACAUAUAUAAUUACUAAUUGAUCUUGAUUAUGUGCAAAAUAAUUGUGCUUUGUCUUUCUAAGCUUAUAAGAUUCAUGCGCUA
rnacentral:lncRNA from 1 species